AGAUAGAAAAUCCGUCUGUAAUUUAAAAAUUUCCGUCGGUAAUAUUGAUUUAAACCUAAUUUAACCUGAGUGUGUCGAGCUUUAUUCACACUCCACACAAGCUUCUUCCUCUCUCUGUCGCACGAACAGCUUCUUCUCUCUGUCACAUGAGCUUUUUCCGCCGUUACCGCCGUUCGCGUCGCAUGAGCUUCCUCCGCCGCCACUCUUGUCGCGUUUGCUCCCUUAGUGAAUUUCAGGUUUAUCAAUUAUUUUAUUAUCAGCGAAGAAAGAGAUUUUUUGUCGGUCAUUUCUGCAACGAUUCGUGAAACUCGGUGGAAACUCGGUGGUUGUUGUUGAAUGGCGAAGCUUGGAAUGAUAGUUGACUCUGUUGGUAACUUCUUCUCCGGCAAAGACCAGCUUCCCUAGUGUGACCCUGACAUCGUCGUUGCAAGACAACCAAAUCCAAUCAUAUACAGGAGAUUGCGCCGCGGAUCAGUGGCAGCGAGAAUUUCAGGCAAACAAACUGAGGCAAGACACUGCUUGACAACCAAAUCCAAUGAUUCUGAGGAUUCUUGAACUGAUGGGAGCAGAAAUAACCUUUUGGAAGUUAAUGUUUCAGAAGUAGAUCAGCAGAAAGGAUUGUCCCUCACUGAUGGAGAUAAGAAUAUGGUGUACUACAAAAUAUCACAUUGUGAUGGUCGGAUAACUAACCCAGAGCACAGAAUUGCAAGCGAUGUGCCACGGUUCUGCUCAAAGUUAAGUGAAAUUGUUUGGGAUGAUUUAACUGCACUAACUGAUGGACUGCUAUACACUUGGCGGCUGUGUUCAUAUGCAAGUCCAAAAUAUGUCUUCUGGAUAUUGGGCUAUGUACUUGUAGCUGGGACCACAAUCAGAAAAUGCUCUCCUCCAUUUAGUAAACUAAUGUCCAGAGAGCAGCAACUGGAAGGAGACUAUCGACAGCUUCACUCGCGAUUGAGGACUCACUCGGAAAGUAUAUCAUUUUAUGGUGGAGAGAUGAGAGAAGAUGCCCAUAUUCAGCAGAAGUUUAAGACCUUGGUUAGGCAUUUGAGUAGUGUCCUACAUGACCAUUGGUGGUUUGGCAUGAUUCAGGACUUUUUAUUGAAGUACCUUGGUGCUACAGUUGCUGUUAUUCUGAUAAUUCAAUGCCAUAUUACUGUCUAGUUAUAUUGAAUUGUUAUAUUUCUUUACUUUAUUAUUCAUCUGAAUUGCUUGCACAUCUGUCCAAGGUUGAUCUCGAGUAUCUUUUGGACCGUUACCCCCCUGAAAAAGAGGUAAACUGGGGUGAUGAACUUUCUUUGGGUGAGCAACAAAGAUUAAGCAUGGCUAGGCUUUUCUACCAUAAGCCUAAAUUUGCAAUUCUAGAUGAAUGCACAAGUGCUGUCACAACUGACAUGGAAGAACGGUUUUGUACUAAAGUUCGGGCCAUGGGAACAUCAUGCAUUACCAUAUCACAUCGUCCAACAUUAGUUGCAUUCCAUGAUGUAGUUUUAUCCUUAGAUGGUGAGGGAGGCUGGAGUGUUCGUUAUAGAAGGUUUGAACUUUACUAUGCUGCUUGUUGCUGUUCAACUUUGGAUCUAUGCUAUUAUUUAUAGGAUUCAAAUUUGCUACAAGGAGGACUCUUCUUCUGAAUUGGUGAUUGAUACAAUGAAGGCAUCUCAGACAAAGCGACAGCGUGAUGCAGAGACAGUUCAAGAAGCAUUUACCACGAACAAAAAGGGUUCUGGAUUCUCAAAGUCAAGCGCACAAUCAUAUAUCACAGAAGUGAUAUCAUCAUCUACAUCCAUGAAUUCUACUAUUUCACCAUCUGCUGUUCCCCAAAUUAAAAGUAAUUUGAGGCCAUUGCCACUAAGAGUAGCUGCCAUGAGCAAAGUAUUGGUAGUACCUUCUGUAGAUAUGCUCUUAACACACACAGACGUAUAUAUGGUGGGGAUGGACAACUAUCCUGUCAUAAUAGAUUAAUUCUACAUGUGUCUGAGUUAUUUAUGAAAAUCUUAGAUAUUAUUGUUUGGUGGUAAACAUAUAUUUAUAUGCAUAUGCAACUACAACUUUGCUGUACUCAAGUUCUACACUCCUGCAACUUAUGGGUUCUACGGUACUCCGAUUGAUAAUGAUAUUGCCUUGAAAGUUUUACUUGCUGCUGAUUGUCGUUUUUAGGAUUUAGUCAGUUCUGAAAGCAUUCUCAAGAUAUGCUUUAGUUGAGAUAAAUAAAUUUAGAGCUAUAGUAAUUUCAGCAUUCAAGUAUCUACUCUAUUAGUAUCUUAUGAGAAGGAAGUUGAGAGAGAAACUGCAAAAACUGCUGACAUGAAGGAGAAGGGUGCUGACCCUUAUGAUUUCAAGCAGCAGAAAACUGCAUAUGCUCAGUCCAAUGCAAACAAAUCAAAGAAGAAGUAGAUGAACAAAUACUUUCAAGUUUCAGCCACACAAGAGUCUACCAUGGAGUGAAGAAUCAUGUAACUCAGAUUAGAUUGGAGAGUUUAAACUUUAAAGAGAGCAUGAGGAAAUAGUUUUAAAAUUUAGGCUGAAGUCAUGCCUUUCUCUGUUGUAGUUUAAAAGAAAUUUUGGAGUAUCUUUUUAUUGAGACAGUGAGAUAUUGGAUAAUGGUGUUGAAAAAUAACAUCCAAUUUUAUAGGUAUCAUGUAAUGAAUAUUAUAUUUAUCUAUGUGA